rnacentral:rRNA from 1 species
AGAACGAACGCUGGCGGCAUGCCUAACACAUGCAAGUCGAACGCUCACCGGGCUUCGGUUCGGUGGGAGUGGCGCACGGGUGAGUAGCGCGUGGGAACCUGCCCUGUUGUGGGGGAUAACCGAGGGAAACUUCGGCUAAUACCGCAUGCGCCCGGGGAAACCCGGGGAAGAUUUAUCGCAGCAGGAGGGGCCCGCGUCGGAUUAGGUAGUUGGUAGGGUAACGGCCUACCAAGCCUUUGAUCCGUAGCUGGUCUGAGAGGAUGAUCAGCCACACUGGGACUGAGACACGGCCCAGACUCCUACGGGAGGCAGCAGUGGGGAUAUUGGACAAUGGGCGCAAGCCUGAUCCAGCAAUGCCGCGUGAGUGAUGAAGGCCUUAGGGUUGUAAACCUCUUUCGACCGGGACGAAGCGUGAGUGACGGUACCGGUAGAAGAGCACCGGCUAACUACGCGCCAGCAGCCGC